AACGCGAAGAACCUUACCUGGGUUUGACAUGCACAGGACGCCAGUAGAGAUAUUGGUUCCCUUGUGGCCUGUGUGCAGGUGGUGCAUGGCUGUCGUCAGCUCGUGUCGUGAGAUGUUGGGUUAAGUCCCGCAACGAGCGCAACCCUUGUCUCAUGUUGCCAGCACGUUAUGGUGGGGACUCGUGAGAGACUGCCGGGGUCAACUCGGAAGAAGGUGGGGAUGACGUCAAGUCAUCAUGCCCCUUAUGUCCAGGGCUUCACACAUGCUACAAUGGCCGGUACAAAGGGCUGCGAUGCCGUGAGGUGGAGCGAAUCCUUUCAAAGCCGGUCUCAGUUCGGAUCGGGGUCUGCAACUCGACCCCGUGAAGUCGGAGUCGCUAGUAAUCGCAGAUCAGCAACGCUGCGGUGAAUACGUUCCCGGGUCUUGUACACACCG
rnacentral:rRNA from 1 species